AGAACUUUGGUAAGAAGGUGGAUCAGAUCAAGCUCUAUGUGAGACGUGUGUUCAUCACGAGUGACUUCGCAGAGAUGAUGCCAAACUACCUCGCCUUCAUCCGCGGCAUGGUUGACUCUGACGACCUUCCCCUGAACGUGUCGCGAGAGACACUCCAGCAGCACAAGCUGCUGAAGGUAAUUAAGAAGAAGCUAACGAGGAAAGCACUGGACAUGA